AUGGAUCUUUGCCAAGUUCUGGGUCAGGAGUUGGAUGCGCUGGAGAUUGAGAUAGUACAGAAGGGGACAAUACAUCCAAGGAAGAGUUGCAAGAUGAACAGUUCAUGUGCAGAUGUCCUUUUUGCUGCACAUAGGUGGCAGAUGUCCAAACCAAGCUUAGUUUCUGAGUUAAAGGAUGUCUUCGAUCAGAAAGCCAGUAACAAGCACUGGAUUGAUGUGCAACCAAGAUGGGGAGACUAUGAUUCGCAUGACAUAGAACAUUACGCAAGAGCAAAAUUUAUGGACUACAUGACAGAUAAUUUGUCCAUCUACCGUACUCCGACUGCUUAUAAUUUGCACUCUGCUUUUGGUAAUUGGUUCCCUGGGUCAAAGCCCCUCCUUCAGCAAGCAAUGAACAAGAUCAUGAAGUCAAAUCCUGCUCUGUAUGUGCUGAGGGAGAGAAUAGGAAAGGGUCUUCAGUUGUAUUCAUCUGAACCCACUGCCCACCGAGCCAUAUGUGUCUUCAUAGAACUACGGUACUGAGAGAUAUUCAGCAAUCAAAUCAUAUGGUUUGUGGAUGACACAAAUGUCUAUCGAGUUACCAUUCACAAAAUCGAGGGUAACCUGACGGCCAAACCAAUCAAUGGUGCUAUCUUUAUUUUCAGUCCAAGAACUGGUCAACCAACUAUUUCUGAAGGUCAUCCACACAAGUGUAUGGGCAGGACAAAAGCGUCUAGGGCAGCUGGCCAAGUGGAGAACAGCCGAGGAGGUUGCUGCACUAGUUCGAUCUUUUCCCGUUGAGAGCAACCAAAGCAAAUUAUUGUGACAAGGAAGGGUAUGAGCAAGCAACAUUUGCAUCGAAGACAGAUUUGCGUGUCAGGGCCAUCUCUGCUAUGAACCCUUAUCUUCGUGUCAACCGCAUUUAUGUUAACUCGGAUGAUAAAAAGGUCAGAGGCACAAUUUAUUUUCUUCGAUUUACCCAUAAAGUCGCCAAAUGGCUACAGGAGACUGGUUAUACUUACAUCAUGACAAAGAAUAUAUUGAAGAAGUUGAUAUGCAUAGCAGAUCUACGGACACAGGUUGCAGGUUUCCUGUAUGGGCUGAGUCCACAGGAUAAUCCCCAAGUCAGGGAGAUGAGAUGCAUAUCCAUUCCGCCACAACAUGGAAGUCACCAAUGGUGACUUUGCCAGCGAAUAUCCCAGGGCAUGAGUUCCUUGCUGACUUGGAGCCGUUGGGACCUAGUCGAAUGGAGCUCCUCAGCUAUCACCUCAAGAUUUGGCAUGACAUGCUAAAAUUUUGGAGAAGAACGAGGCGUGGCAUGGUGAAAAGGGCAUCAUUUUGACCUGCCCGUGAACAUCUUGGGUCAGUGGUUAUGCUUGCGAGAAGAAAAAACCUAUCAGGGUCAGUGGUCAUCACUUGUCAAACUGAAUCGUUAUCGUCAAGUGGAUGUUUUUCUUGGUGUUAUCAUCCUUUUACUCGUUGAUACUUUGUGAUUUGAGCUUCUUUAUUGAAGCUUAAUGUGUUAUGUCCGUCUGGUUGCUCUUCUUAAAAUUGGAGCACUUGCAGAUUUCUGUUGCUAGGUUAAGUUUACUUUGUCGGUCAGUGUUUGGUUAUAUAUGUUUCAGUCAGUCAGUUUUAUGCCUGAGAGCAAAUCAGUUGUUCUGGACCUGAUCAAACCUCAGCUAUUGCUUGAGCCAGUUCUGGGAUGGUGACCCCUUGAAGAGUCUGGUCAAAGCAAGCCAGUACUGCAGCAUCAACAUUACUACUGUAACCAUCUUGGCACUGACGAUGGCUUUGCUGUUCCGAGCCUCGUUGCGUACGUGAGUCCCAUGGAAACCGACACCUGACAGCAAUAGCAGUGGAUGUUUCUUCUUCUUUGAGACUAAAGUUGUUUUGAUAGUAACUUGGAUUAUGAGCGCCUCAAAGCAUUGGUUUGUCGAUAUAUUACUGUUAGGCAUGCAAAUGAACCAGAUUAAGUAAGAGAAAGGAAGGCAACUUACCUCAAAAUUAUGCUGAAAAAUCUGUGUUGGUCCCAAGCAAAAUGUUGUACAAAAAUGCAGUAGCAGUUGCAGGCAUGUCAAACAAGUGAUUUGAUUUGAUUUGUAGCAAAAGACUGAAAGGAAUUGUUCCUUGAGAACUUGGAAUAGGUGAUGGUAACUAAGAAUUAUACCAAUAAUUGUAACUGUCCUGGGAUGAUAAGCAGUCACACUGUCGCCUCAGCUAUUGUUUCUGUUUCCGUGGAGCAUCGAUCAUAUAAUUAUGCAGCAGAGAAUGUCUCCCACGCUUCCCCAUCAACACAAAGAAGCUCAGUUCAGGCAGUCCAACAAGAAAAACAGAAAAGGAGUCCAUCCAAGGUCUUGUCUGAUCAAUCGAACACCUCAAGGUCGUUGGCUGCAAUGGAGGCCGUUAGAGAUUCUGACGUUGCGUUCCUUCCAACAAAUUUUCUUCUGAUUAUUUUGAUGUUGUAUGCUUCACAUCGGUUUCUGUUGCUCGGAUCCGAUCCAUGUCACACCGAAGGCAUAAGUGAGAUAGCAGGAGAGGAGAGUGGGACUUGGACCAGAGAAAGGAGAUUGGAAUUCAGAUUUCACGCAUCGCAUACCUCACGUUUACACCCUCUGUAUUGCUGUGGUGAUCAGGUGUGACAUGGACCUGCUGCCCGAAGAGAUCGCUGGUGGCGAACGUGCUCUGCACUCUGCUGAGCCGACACGGUGAUAUGUAAAACUAUAUGUG
rnacentral:rRNA from 1 species